AGUAAUGUCUGGGAAACUGCCUGAUGGAGGGGGAUAACUACUGGAAACGGUAGCUAAUACCGCAUAAUGUCGCAAGACCAAAGAGGGGGACCUUCGGGCCUCUUGCCAUCGGAUGUGCCCAGAUGGGAUUAGCUAGUAGGUGGGGUAACGGCUCACCUAGGCGACGAUCCCUAGCUGGUCUGAGAGGAUGACCAGCCACACUGGAACUGAGACACGGUCCAG
rnacentral:rRNA from 1 species